UACAGAGGGGGCGAGCGUUAUUCGGAAUUAUUGGGCGUAAAGGGCGCGUAGGCGGCUUUGCAAGUGACGGGUGAAAGCCCUCGGCUUAACCGAGGAACUGCCUGUCAGACUGUGAGGCUUGAGACCGGGAGAGGUGAGUGGAAUUCCCAGUGUAGCGGUGAAAUGCGCAGAUAUCGGGAGGAACACCGGUGGCGAAGGCGGUUCUCUGGGCCUGUACUGACGCUGAGGAGCGAAAGCGUGGGGAGCGAACAGG
rnacentral:rRNA from 1 species